CCCAGAGGCACCACCUCACCCCCAGAGGACAGAGACAGCGCAACGCAACAGACAGAGUACGACAACGACUCCUCACAAGGCCCAAGCCCUAGGCGAAGGCCAGGUUUGAGCCUCACAGCGCAUCACCAAAACCCAUCGCCUAGGGCCCACUCCCUAAACUCAGGGCAAACGGUGGUUAAGCCUCACAGAGGGGACACCCCCAUCCAUCUUACCCACCUGACCCUUCCAGACCCAGGGCAACGGGAGUUACAUGUUGGACAACUGAAACAAUGAAUGUAAACAGGGAUAUAGUAAUGAGUACAAAUGUAACCGAUUUAACUGUAACAUGUUGC